GUAGUCUGNAACCCGACUACAUGAAGCUGGAAUCGCUAGUAAUCGCGAAUCAGAAUGUCGCGGUGAAUACGUUCCCGGGUCUUGUACACACCGCCCGUCACACCAUGGGAGUCGGAAAUGCCCGAAGUCAGUGACCUAACCGAAAGGGAGGAGCUGCCGAAGGUGGAGCCGGUAACUGGGGUGAAGUCGUAACAAGGUAAC
rnacentral:rRNA from 1 species